rnacentral:rRNA from 1 species
AUACGUAGGGGGCGAGCGUUGUCCGGAAUGAUUGGGCGUAAAGGGCGCGUAGGCGGCCCGGUAAGUCUGGAGUGAAAGUCCUGUUUUUAAGAUGGGAAUUGCUUUGGAUACUGUCGGGCUUGAGUGCAGGAGAGGUAAGUGGAAUUCCCAGUGUAGCGGUGAAAUGCGUAGAGAUUGGGAGGAACACCAGUGGCGAAGGCGACUUACUGGACUGUAACUGACGCUGAGGCGCGAAAGUGUGGGGAGCAAACAGGAUUAGAUACCCUGGUAGUCCACACUGUAAACGAUGAAUGCUAGGUGUAGAGGGUAUCGACCCCUUCUGUGCCGCAGUCAACACAAUAAGCAUUCCGCCUGGGGAGUACGGCCGCAAGGUUGAAACUCAAAUGAAUUGACGGGG